GUAUCCUAUUGAAAGGUUUUU
rnacentral:miRNA from 1 species